rnacentral:rRNA from 1 species
CCUACGGGAGGCAGCAGUGAGGAAUAUUUUUCAAUUUUCUCGCUCCUGCCCCCGCCCCGUCGCGUGAAGGAUGACUGCCCUACGGGUUGUAAACUUCUUUUAUAAAGGAAUAAAGUGAGGCACGUGUGCCUUUUUGUAUGUACUUUAUGAAUAAGGAUCGGCUAACUCCGUGCCAGCAGCCGCGGUAAUACGGAGGAUCCGAGCGUUAUCCGGAUUUAUUGGGUUUAAAGGGAGCGUAGAUGGGUUGUUAAGUCAGUUGUGAAAGUUUGCGGCUCAACCGUAAAAUUGCAAUUGAUACUGGCAGCCGUGAGUACAGUUGAGGUAGGCGGAAUUCGUGGUGUAGCGGUGAAAUGCUUAGAUAUCACGAAGAACUCCGAUUGCGAAGGCAGCCUACUAAACUGCCACUGACAUUGAUGCUCGAAAGUGUGGGUAUCAAACAGGAUUAGAUACCCGAGUAGUC